rnacentral:rRNA from 1 species
GCGGGAAACAGUUCAAUCGCAAUGGCUUGAGCCGGGUAAAAGUCGUAACAAGGUAUCUGUAGGUGAACCUGCAGAUGGAUCAUCG